rnacentral:lncRNA from 10 species
AAAAAAAAAAAAAAAAAAAGAAAAAGAAAAAGAAAAAAAAAGGAACCAUGUCUAUGAAGCAAAGGACUGAAGUGGGAAGAUAAACUGUGAACAUCCAUGGCUACGUGGCACACAAACAGAAGGUCAUAUGCAAAGCAUAGUAAUUCAUUUCAUGAUAAACUGGAUGCUGUGGAAAGUGACUUGAGCAGGCAGAGUUCCUUUCUUCUCAGUUAAUUUACUCACAGCUGUAGAUAACAUUCAUGGAAAGGAAAAGAGAUAUUUGGAUGAUAUGUAAACAGAUGGAUUUAUGUUUGACUAUGUGCAUGCAAGAGAGUUAAGUAUACAUGAUGGACAUGUUUUCUGAAAUGUAUUGUUUUUCAAGUUUUUC